rnacentral:misc_RNA from 1 species
AGUAAAACAGUACGUGAAAUUGUUGAAAGGGAAACGCUUGAAGUCAGUCGUGCCGGCGUUGGAUUCAGCUUGCUUCGCGGAGCAGGCGUAUUUCCGCGCAUGGCAGGUCAGCGUCAGUUUUGCGCGGCGUGAAAAGGCUCGGGUAAGGUAGCUCUCUUCGGGGAGUGUUAUAGACCUGGGCAGAUGCGCUGCGCGGGACUGAGGAUUGCAGCGGACACCCCCUCGGGGGCGCGGCGACCGAACCCUGCUCGGCCACCCUCGUUCGAUAGCGUGCUAGCGGACGCGGGAGCGGCGGUGCACCGGAACAGGCAAGCCAGCGGUUCGCUAAGGAUGCUGACGUAAUGGCUUUAAA